AGUGAACGCUGGCGGUAGGCCUAACACAUGCAAGUCGAACGGCAGCACAGUAAGAGCUUGCUCUUACGGGUGGCGAGUGGCGGACGGGUGAGGUAUACAUCGGAAUCUACUUUUUCGUGGGGGAUAACGUAGGGAAACUUACGCUAAUACCGCAUACGACCUACGGGUGAAAUCAGGGGAUCUUCGGACCUUGCGCGAUUGAAUGAGCCGAUGUCGUAUUAGCUAGUUGGCGGGGUAAAGGCCCACCAAGGCGACGAUCCGUAGCUGGUCUGAGAGGAUGAUCAGCCACACUGGAACUGAGACACGGUCCAGACUCCUACGGGAGGCAGCAGUGGGGAAUAUUGGACAAUGGGCGCAAGCCUGAUCCAGCCAUACCGCGUGGGUGAAGAAGGCCUUCGGGUUGUAAAGCCCUUUUGUUGGGAAAGAAAAGCAGCAGGUUAAUACCCCGCUGUUCUGACGGUACCCAAAGAAUAAGCACCGGCUAACUUCGUG
rnacentral:rRNA from 1 species